CAGCUUUCUCAUUUGAGCUAGCUUCCUAAAUUUAUUAAAAUAAAUUUAAGCAUCACUACUUUUAGGCAUCUAGUUCACCUCUAGGAAAACCUAAUUAAGUGAAGAAGAAAUCAGAAAACAAAAACAACUAUGCCCCUUGUCUUAGUUCAUUUGAGCUGUUGGAACAAAACACCACAGACUGGUGUCUUAUACACAACAGAAAUUUAUUUCUCACAGUCCUGGAGGACGGAAGUCUGAUGUCGGGUGCCAGCACGGUCAAGUGAGGGCACUUUUUUGGGUUAUUGACUUCCCCCUAUGUCCUCACAUAGGAUAAGGGGCUACAGGGCUCUGUGGGGUCUCUUUUAUAAGAGCAUUAAUCCCAUUGAUGAGGGUUCCACUCUCAUGACCUAAGCACCUCCCAAGGGCCCCACCUUCCAAUACUAUCACAUAGGACAUUAGGAUUUCAACCUGAAUUUGGGGGAUGGGAGGCACAAACAUUCAGACCAUAGCACUCACUUAACUACCACUCAAUAAGUUACCACCUGUAAACCUGCUAUGUGCCUGGCUCUAACUAGUCAUUUCACAUGCAUUAUUUAAAAUCCUUCCCACAAUCCUAUAUAUGUAUCAUAUAGGGGUUGCCUCUAUUUUAAGGAUAGGAAACUGAGGGUCAGAGGGUUGUCACACACUAGCAGGAGGAGGAAACUCUAAGAGAUGAACCCAGUUUCUCUGACCCCAAAGGGCAUGUUCUUCCCACUCUGAUAUAUACUCUUUGUUUAUUCAACAUUCACUCAACAAAUACGUCAAUUUUUUUCAGGAAAAGUCAUAGAAAUUGUACCUCACAUACUUGGAAAGACAUUUGUCAGAAAAAUAGAAAUCUACUUUUAAACACAGACCAAUGCUCUGUUCUAAUAAAAUAAAAUAGGGAUAUUUGUUUUUAAGUGAACUACUAAUUCUGAAAUAAUCACAUGGCUCAGAGAGAGAAGUCAUUUAGCCAUUAAUGAGGUUCUGGGCCUUCAUUAACUUUAAUAAAACUAGAUCUGGCUCUUUAAAUUAAGCAAGAAUAAUUCAAAUCUGAGGACAGUUUCCGACCCAGAGUAGAAUGUCGUCCACGGCUGGCAGAUACGUCACUGUAAGGAUACUAAGCAUUUGAAAGGGCUAGUGAACAUUUGCAAUCUGAGGUUAAUGGGAAACCAAUCAUAAGCCUAACUUAUUAUUACUCUACUAGGAAACUAUUUUAUUGAAGACAAAUGAUCUCUUUGGGUAGGUAUUUUAAGGAAGGAGAUUACAUUUUCUUCUUGGUACAUUUCUUUCGGAAGCAUCCCAACUAACCGUCUGCAGCAGAGGUCAACUGCCUUUCUGUAAAGGACCAAAGGGUAAAUAUGUCAAACUUUGCAGGUCACAGGGUCUCUGUUGCAGCUAUUCAACACUGCCACUGUAGUGUGAAAGCAGCCUUAGACAAUAGGUAAAAGAACGAAUGUGGCUGUGUGUCAAUAAAACUUUAUUUACAAAAUGGGGAGCCAGGGGAGAGGGCUGUGGUUUGCCCAUCCUGGGCGACAGUAUUAGAUAAUAAAUGUUGCUUCUACUUAUAUGCCCAAGAGACCAUAAUACCAAAGAAGCCAAGUGACAUUUAUUAAUUUUUUAUCUCACUGUGAAUAUCAGAGCACUCAAAACCAACACAGAAUAUGACAUUUCUUUAAUGUGAAUGUUGCCAUACUUAUUUUAGAUAAUUUGGAUGAAAUCUUUGAUGUUAGCUUAUCUGUUGUAUUUCUUAGUGGCUCUCCAUAAAAAUAGAAAAGAAUGUAGAUGCAGGUGACGGAAAGAGCCCAGGAUGAGCCUCUCGGUACCCAGAAUCAUAUAGCUGAUGGGAAUCCUGGGUCAGAAUUUGAUUAAUGGAUGAUGAAUAUGUUUCCAAAUGUUGAUGCAAAUAAUCCAUAAUCAAUCUAUAAAUCAAAAUUGGGUGAGUUUAUCAUGAGCCAGGUCUGAGGACUAUAGCUUGGGGGCUUCCUUCCCCAAGGAAAGACAUACACCAGAGAAGUGGAGUGUACAGAGUGGUUAUAUACUAUCUUGGAACAAAGAACGUACAUCACAUAUGCCAGGAAUAUCUCUUUUACUACUGUCACUAGAUGCUUAGCUAGCAUAGCAGGUCAGUGGUCACAAGGUGAGAACAGCAGAUCUGUAAUUAAUCCUUAGUUUCCAGGAAGAGAUACUUAUUCUUAAAGAAAUGCUAAUCUAGGGGGAAGCUGAAUCUCUACCUUUAAGGGCAUAAUUCUUGUCUUUGGGACAUUGUAAAUGCUUAAAGCAGAUGUACAAUGCAUGUUCAAGAGGCCACAUCAGGGCUUUCUGGAAUAACAAGUUCAGGCUGAAUUAAUUUUAAACCAUAUGGCUUCCUCAUAUACUCCAGUAUAUCCUAUUGCUCUUCAUUUAUUCAUCAAAACUUAUAUAUUCUACCAUUUCUGGGACUCUAGAAUUGUGCAGAUUAGUAGCAGGAUAAUUUCACAUAAGUUACGAAUAAGUUACUAGAAUUUUCUGUGGCCAAAGUAUAUGCUGACUCUUCUAAAGUAUUGAUCAAGAUUAAGCAACCUUUCAUGAAGGUUCUUGGCUUUUUACUUGUGUGUGUUUAACCACAAAUAGAUGUAUCAUUUUAGACAGCUAAUAAUAACAUAUUCAAUAAGGUUUGGUAAAGCUAAUAGACUAACUUAAUUGCAGCUCUUUUUCCUAGAGGUUUUUUCAGGGUUAUUAAAAAAUGGCAUUUGUUUUAUAUAUUUUUCUUAGUUAUGAUGGAGAAUCUCUAUGAUAAUAUGAAAAAUCCAAUAUGCCAUUCCUCAGAGUCUUGGUUAUCAAUCUCAUUAUGAUGUCAUAGCAUGCGAGACAUUGGAGCUCAGCUCUAGGUAAAGAGAAGAGAGAGCACUGACAAUCUAAAACUGAUUUUGAAAUCAAAGUCAUUUUCUAAGUUUACUUAGUAGUAAGAGUAGUACUGUAGCAAAUGCUACUAUGGUGGCAGUUAACAUUUACUGAGUUAUAACGCAUGCAAGAUACCAUGUUAAGCACUUCACAUAUAUCAUAUUUAAUCUCCAAAAUAACCUAAUGAUGGAGGUAUAAUUUUAUAGAUGAGGAAAGUUAAACCAAAAGACUCAAAACCAGAUCAGUCUGAUAGCAAAGUCACUGCUUUUAACUCCUAUGCCAGUGAUUCUCACAGUGUGGUCCCUGGACCGGCAGCACCAGCAUAACCUGGGAACAUGUUAGGAAUGCAGAUUCUCAAGCUUCACCCCCUACCUGCUGAAUCAGAAACCCUGGGGAUGGGAUCCAGGAAGCUGUGUUUUAAAUUUCUUUUUUUUUUCAAGAUUGGCACCAAUCUUCUCUUUUUUCUUUUUCUGCUUUUUCUCCCCAAAUCCCCCCAGUACAUAGUUGUAUAUUCUAGUUGUGAGCGCCUCUGACUGUGCUAUGUAUCUGGGACGCCGCCUCAGCGUGGCCUGACGAGCGAUGCCAUGUCCACGCCCAGGAUCCGAACCAGCGAGACUCUGGGCCACUGAAGCGGAGCGCGAGAACUUAACCACUUGGCCACGGGGACGAUCCCCAGGAACCUGUGUUUUAAUAAGUCCUUUCCUGAUGAUUCCUAUAUCCACUGACAUUCAGGAACCAUUGUACUAUGCUAGACGGCAUUUAAAAGAAAUGCCAAACAUUGAAUAAAUGUUAGUUGCUCAAUCCAUUAAACACAAUAAUAGGAGAGAACUACCUAGCACAGCUUGGGGCUCACAUAAGCACUAGAAUAUAAUAGUUUAUUUCUAUGGCAUUAAUAUAAGUCAUUUGUGUGUAUCGUGAGGUUAGAUUAUUAGAAACUGUGCCUGAACUGCCAUGAGAGUUAGAAAUUCUGUUUUCUAAAGUGGCAGAAGCCCCAGCACUAUUAGAAAGGAAACAAAGGCAAAUAUGAAUACAUGCUACUUAGUGGCCAACCAACGCCUUGAGAGAUUGUUUUAAGCUACAAACGAAUUCCAUGUUCUAUACUUAUCAAAAUACCCAUCGCUUUAUCUGAUUUCACGGUAGCCAGAAAUUCACAUAUUUGGUAACAUUCCUUUGAGAGGAACUAAGAAAUCUGAGCAACGAAUGUGAUGGUGACACAGAGUAACUGCUGACCAAAGAUUUAACAACUUUUUAAAUAACAAAAUAAUGGAUCUGAUCAAUGAUAUUUUUAAUGAGAUAUUUUAACGGAUGCUAUCAGUGAUAUAAUUUAGUGGGAUAUUUUUGGUGAUAUUUUUAUGAAUUUUUAUUUUCAUAAAACGUCUCUCUCACCUCAUCUUCUAGCCUCUUCUCUACUCAGAUUUUGCAAAAUCCUGCACAUGUGUGUGGCUCAAAAUGCCAGGUGUAAUGGGAAGCUGCCACAGGAAAGAUAGAAAAAUUCACUGCCAUCUGAUACUUAUUAACACGAGAAAAAACAGGAAUACUGUCCUGUGAGUCAGUUCAUAAUUGUUCUUUUCAAAGAAUUAACAAGGUGAGACCAGAAAUUUAUCUGAGAGAAUGUACUCAAUGUAGUGAGGCCCCCAAAAGAAAAAAGGGCACCAGCACUUUGUGCCGAAAUGAGACCAGAGUACAAAUUCCUGAAAAUGCCCGAUGCUCCCUACAUGGUAGCCCAGCACAUUGGCAAUCCCCAUAGCCACACGGGCUGGUCUGGUCUUGGGGAUUACCAGGAGCGCAGAAAGGCUUGGCUGCAGUAACAGCCUUAGACCUGGGACAGUAGGCUGCUGCCCUGGGCCCAGUGCUUUCUUCAAAAUUUUUGAAGUUCCCUGGGGUGCCUGGCAAUGCCACCUGGGUGGGACACCCCAAACCUGGAUGGAUUCCUGGGAGUUUGGUCCUUAUUUCCAUCCUUCAGGACACUCUUUGACCCUUGAUCCUGUGUGUGGGGUCACCACCUGCCCCAAGGAACUCCGAGACUCAUGCUCCUGGGAUCAUAAUCCCCACCUAUGGGGCUUCCAGGAGGGUGGGCUCAUGAGCUGGUCAUUUCCGCUGGCUGUUGCAGUAUUUCUCUCAUGAGAUUGAGCCCCCCAAAAUGUGCUGACACUCUGAUUUGAGGUGACUCACUCAUGGUGGUCACAGGAGACGUUCAGGACUCAGGGUUACCAGGACCAAUCCCACCCAGCUUUGGACUUGAGCUCUUCAGCAUCGGCUCUUGCCUGCCCGUUCCAUCCGUGGCCUCCUAGGGCCACAACACCCAAGGGCAGGAGGGAGGCUGCAGGUGUCCUUUACCUGUGUACUCUACUGCUGGCACACAGGGUUACCCCACCCCUCCAUAAGUUCCUUUCCCUACCCAUGUCGGGCAGUCCUCUGAGGUGGCCAAGCCUAUCUCCUCCAAGGGCUUUCUAGACCAUUGCUUUAGAAUGCAGAUGGGCCCUUCUGCUCAGGGUCCUCUUUUGCCUCCAGUGGAUUUGGUGGCCUCAUGCUCUCCUGGGGCGAGGGACGAACAUUUCUUGCAGAAUGUGACUGCUUUACUUACUCUGCCCACAGGCCCCUCGCCUACCCUCCUGGCUGGUGGGAUGUAUGGAAGGCAGGGGUGUGGUCAACAGGGAAAGAAAUCACCUUCUAAGGAUGCAGUGACUUCCGCCUGAAGAGUUCAAGAGAAGACAGAGUUGGAAGACACGGUGUUCUAUCUUUAUGUUAUAAAAUUCCAAACUGUAGACUUUAUAUGACCGCAAAAUGGAUUAUUGUUCACAUUUUCCAGCAUUCUCUGGAUGAGACUUGCAUUUAUAGUCAUUAUCAAUGAACCACAGCAGCUACCUUUGACAGGGUCGUUGGAAAGCAGUACUCACAGGCCGCACAAUGGAUGACCCACUGUUAUGCAUACAUGGUAUAAGUAACAUUAAAUACGUGCAGAGAUGAGAUCUGUAUAGUUGCAAUAUAAGCAAGCUCCAAAAAGUCCUGACAUUGUGAGUAAUGACAGCAUUGCACCCUGUUUUUGGAGGUGGAAGAUGUGAAAUUCUCCAGGAAUGGCACAUUUGACAAUAAAGAACAUGAAGAGAUGAUUCCUGGACCCAAACAGAAAAGAUGGUCUCUGGACAUCUGCCCUGAUUGGACAAUAAAUACAUAUCAAAGUACCUCUUCCAGCUCUUCCUACACAUUAUUCUACACCUUCAGCAAUAAAUCACUAUACUUUCCAGGGGCCCACACAUUUUGUAAAACAUUUUUUAAUCAAAGUGUUUAGUUAGGGCCUUGCAAAAAGAGAAUUUUGCCUGGGGCUCCAUGUACUCCACAUGGGGGCACCUCUGCUUGUCUGAGACCUUUGCUUUCAGAGUUAACAAGUAUUAAUUGACUCACUACCCAGUACUGUGUUCCAUGUCAAAUGCUGGGAGGCCAAACCUCAUCAAAACUUGUAUGAUGCAACCACUGCCCCCAAGACCCAUGGUCUUGCUGGUUACACAAGACUUGGACAUAUGAAAUAUCAGGAAAAAUAUAGGACUAGAUAUUAUAUGAUGCUUAAAUAAACACAUUCCAAAACAUAUGGCAGAGAUAGUUAACGCUAAGGGUUUAGGAAGGGGCGAGCUCAGUGUGGGCUGGUGUCUCCAGGAAGGCUUGGUGGCACUCGGUAUGAGCCCUGAGGCACAAGCUGGACUUGGACAGGCUCCGAAGUAUGUAGACGGCAGGCUGGGCAGGGGCGGCAGCGGGAAUCCCUUGAGGAAGGACCCCAUUUCACGAGUCAGACUUGAGGAGCUUCGGAACUGAAGAAGGCACAGCCCCUGCUUUCUUGGAGCUGGAGUCUCUCUGAAGAGCAUAAGCUGCCUUGGAGUGGGAGUGCUGAGCUCUAAGGAAACCCGUCACUGCCCUGUGAACAGGAGACGUUGAUGGCACACCUUCUGGAGGGGUAGAAAUCUCUCACUGGAAAUCAUCUUGGUGGUCUCUUCAACACCAAUUUCCUGAUAUGGACUUAGCCCAACAACCAGACUCCCGCCUGGCCUUCUUUCCACUUUGUUCCUAUCUUCAUGCUGCCUUGCCCACCCACGUGUGAUUUCGGCAGCUGUCUGCUUGCCCUGUUCUCUAAGCAUGAAUCCUGGUUUUCAUCUUGCACUCCUAACCAAGCCUCAAUUCAGGGCUUACAUGAUGCCGUGAGCCCUAGACUUGCAGUCAGAGGAUCUGUGGCUCAAGCUGGCUCUGCCACAUACUGGCUCUGUGACCUCGGGCAGGUCAUUGCAUGCCUCAGAACCUCUUCUGUUUCUUCAUUUAUACAUGGAGAUAGUGAUGCUUUACCACUUAUUUUAGAGGGUGCUUUGAGGAGAAAAUGAAGUACUUUAGCUUAAAAGAAUAAUAUCUAAUACUUAAAUAGAGCUCACUUUGUGCAAGGCAAUCAUCUAAGAGCUUUAGAGAUAUAUUAACUCUUUCAGUUCACACAAUAACUUUGUGAAGAAGAAACUAUUAUUAUUGCCAUUUACAGUGGGAAUGUUUAGACACAGAGAGAUUCAGUUAAUUUCCCAAAGACUAACACAUCUAUUAAGGGUAAGAGCUAGGAUUUAAAUCCUGGUAGUCUGGGCCCAGACUCUGUUCCCUUAACAACCCCAUUAUACUGUUUAUCUAAUAACAAGAAGAGAUAACACUUAUAUAAGGCUUACCAUGUGCCAGCCACUGCUCCAAAGGUCCAAUUAACUCAUUUAAUCCUCACAAUAACCCUUUGAGGUCUCUAGGAGGCAGGUACUGUUGUUAUCUGUAUGUGAAUGAUCUGGAAAGAUUCCAUAUGUGGGAAGUGGAACAGCUGUACCUUUUCCUGGUCCUCCUGCUAAAGACAACUGAAAACCCUGGACAGUCCACAGAAACAAACACAAGAAGACUCUGAAAUGUGGAGAGAAGAAGGCAGACCAACUAGGGACCUCGGAAUCCAAGGAACAGUAUGGUGGUGAGUUCCCUGGGUCUUCUUUUUUGCCUUAUAUUUCCCAGACUUGGAGCUGAAGGAGCUGGCAGCCUGGAAAUGCCAAUGACUCUAGAAAGAAAAAGCCCCAACAGAAGCCCACUCUCUCUAGGAAAAGGAGCAACCUCGCAAGAUAGGAAACAUUUAGAUAAUAACUGGUCUACUCCAGCCAAACACUACAGAAAAAUCUAUGACCCCUCUCCCACCCAUUCCAGUAAGGCUGAGUGGGGAGCCUGGACUUCCAUUUCUGUGGAGUUUUAACAAGGAGCCCAAACCUCUCUGCCAGGGUGUUGUCAGAAAGGGCUGAGUAGAGAGCCAGGACUUUCAUCCCCUGGAGCUAAUGAGGCCUCCUCAUGCUGUCAGUGGAGAUCAACUGGGAGCCUGGACUUCCAUCUCCAUUUGGCGGCAGUCAGGCGCCCUCCCCAUCCUCACUGGGAUGGUGUCUAAAGAAGCCUAAUGGACAGUCAGAACUUUCACCACUGCCCAGCAGCACGGAGGUCCCCGCACAGCCCCACCAUGAUGUCAGCGGAGGCCAUGUGAGGAGAGUAGUGAGGCAUCUGGAUGCUGCCCAGCCAGGUAGGUAUCAGCAGAGACCUAGUAGGGAGCCAGAACUCCCACCCACAUCAAGCAGUAAAGAGGAACCCCACCUCUAUGUCAACAAAGGGCAAGUGGAAACUUACUCUCACCUGGCAGUGGUGGCGGGUCCCCUCUUCUUCCCCUGCUCAAGUAAUGUCAGAGGAAACCAGAAAAAAUGAGGGCUUAAAUAAGACCCAGAGUCUCACAACAUAAUGCCCCAGAUGCCCAGAAUUCAGUAAAAAAAUAAUUGCUCAUUACAUCAAGAACAAGGAAGAUAAACUAAGUGAAAACAGACAAUCAACAGAUACCAGCACCAAGAUGACAGAGAUGUCGGAAUGACCCGACAAAGAUUUUUAAACUGUCAUCAUGAAUAUGCCUCUGUGGCUUAUUUCACUCAGCACAACACCCUCCAGGAAGGCCUUUCUUAGGAAGGAGAGCAAAAAAGAAGAAAAUUAGGUCCAUGUGUGCUUGUUUUUUCUUGUUUUUUCCUCUAAUAUCUUGAAGAGAUGUACUUAUUUUGACAGCUUUCUGAAAUACUGCAUCCAAAGUGCCCCCCGAAUAUAAUGAUCAGAACUUCUCUAAAUCCAUUAACUCAUUCUCUUAACAACUUAGAAUGGAUGUUGGAGAGGCAGCGGCUUAAAGAUAUUUCCGUGUUUCUUGUAUACUUUCUUUUACUUUAUCAACAACUCAUUUCACACAAUUUCCCAUGCGUAUUUCCCUAAAUCUCUUUUUCUGAUUUUUUUUUUUUAGCCAAAGGCAGAAUUUAACGACAACACCAUACCCCUGAGAUUUCCGAUCCUAGCAUCAUGGUGUUCAUCUCUUGUUUUUUUUUUCCUCUGUUACCUCUACUUACAGAUGAAUCAGUAAGAACUCUUCUAUCUUUUAAGAAUCUUGGCUGUCACUGACAAUCUCUUAUUUUCCUUUCUAGCUUCAUAUCUUUCUUCCACAUCUUUCUCAAACUGUAUUCUUGCUUUUCUACUUUAUUUUCACCCUGGGAUUUUCCUGAUAACCUCUUUCUGUCACCACACUGAAAAUCUACUGUUAUCUGUUAUUAUUUUCAUUUCUUGCCCUUGAGAAUAAAAGAAGAUAAAUAGAUUUUAACACCACAGUGCACUUUUUUCUUUUUCUAAAUCACUUUAGAACUAGAUAUUUCACAUUAAGUGCCAUAUAGAACAGAAAUCUCAAAAUCAAUUUUCUUUUUUUUACUGAAAUGAAAGAUGCCAGAGUGAUGACAUAGAAGCUUCUUUCCUAUUCUCAAGUACUUAGAGACAGGCUCCUUCUGAACAGGAAUGAAAUUCAGAAAUAUCCGGGAUUAACAUGAGGUCUCUGUGGAGUCGCAUGUCACAGCUGUGUCCUGAGACCUUUGUAAUGGAUGAUUUCGGUUGCUCAACCAGUGCCCGUCAUCAGCACUGCAGAGUGUUGGGGCUGUGCUGGUGGCAGCUGAAGUGCUCUCGUCCUUCAUUUUCUCGAUGAGGCAGCCUCAGCUGUGAGGGAGUCUUGGGUCACCAUCGAAUCUUGGGCUGUGAGAACUCUGAGUUUAUGCAUGAGAUCUGAAUUUAUUCCUCCGGAGCUGGCUGUUCAUUCAGCGAGCAAAUCUUACUCAAAUCAGCCUAAGUAGAAAGAACUUAUUUUAUUUAUUUAUAUAUUUUUUUGAGGAAGACUGGCCCCGAGCUAACAUCCAUGCCCAUCUCCCUCUACUUUAUAUGUGGGACGCCUACCACAGCAUGGCUUGCCAAGCGGUGCCAUGUCCGCAGCCGGGAUCUGAACCAGUGAACCUGGGGCCACCGAAGCUGAAUGUGCGCACUUAACCUCUGCGCCACCGGGCCGGCCCCAAAAGAACUUAUUUUAAGAUCCAGAGCUUCUGGAAUCCUAGGGAAUCUGGGCCUUCUGUGACAGGAACUGGGAACUAGAAAGGUUCAAUCUAAGGAGCUCUCUCCAGGUCUUCCUCUUUCCUUCUCUUUCUCUGUGUCCCUUUCUCUCUGUAGCCACGUGGCCCCUCACGUGCACACUCGCUCUCCCUCACCCCAUCUCAUUCUUCUUCUUUUUCUCUAUGGGCUUGUGGCUCUAAAUGUCCACUAGACCCAACAUUUCAUCAUUAUUGUCCUGCCCAGCCUCCUCCUCCAGCUGACCCCGUCUCUCAGGGUUCUAAUUUCAAAAUCCCUGAGCAAGAAAUUUGGUCCUGACACUCCCUUCCAGAGCUAUGCCGUAGACUUCGGGAAAGCCUAUAGGUGGGAUGCUUCCCUGAACUUAAUUAGUGACCUUCUGGGAUCUAGGACUCCUCACUCACCCAUGCCAGGGGCAGUGGGCAAGUUACAAUUGUCUGAAAAAAGAUGGGGCAACUUUAUCUAAUUAUUAGUGCACUCUCUAGGGACAUUUAUUUGUUUAUUAUAUCCUGGCAAUACUUUUCAAAAAAGCUUAACGUUUGCUGUAGAGGGAGAAGUCACUCCCUCACUUUCAGCCUGAGCCAGUUGGGGAUCCUUUAAUCCCCUUUGCAGUAGUGUCUGCGGGAGCUGCUAUGUAAUUGUGAGGACUAUGAUAUUUUGGGGGCUGGGAUACUGGAAAGAGCAAUGGGUUGAUGGUUGACAAUCCAAAGAUUAUACCCAGGUCCUGACCUGAUCUUAAUUUACUCUACGACCUUGGGAAAAUCAAAUCAUUUUCUGGGCUUCAUUUUUUCAUUUGUAAAAUGAGGCAGCUGGUGUGAAUCAGUGGUUCUCAGAUUUUUAGAGCAUGAAAACUCUUCUUAAGUUCAAAAAGUUAUGGAUACCACAUACUAAUCAUGUCAAUUUUGCUGCCCAGUGAAGGAAAAGAAAGAACUAUAAGUGUAUAUGUGUUCUAAGACUCACAAUAACUCCAAAGUCUCUGAGAAUCCAAAUGCCGCAGGCUGGAACCAUUGGUCCAGCUGACUUUGAGGUUCCUUCUGGCUCUGAUAUUCUGAGAUUCAAGUCAGAGGAAUUUGGACUCCUUAGAAAACAUUCACUUAUUCAAGAGGAAAGCUGACAAAAAAUAUUACCAGAUCCAAGAGCAGCAACAGAAGUUUUCAAGAGAGAUGAAUUAAGGCAGAUUUCAGGGUCUAAAAAUCCAAGCUGAGAGAGAAGAUGGAAGGAAGAAUCAAUGCUAACAGCAGCAGGAGGCUGUGGGGCGACAUGAUGGGCAGCAGGGUUCAUAAUGUGGCUCAUACCAGGAUGAGGGUCAGAUGUCAUGAUCACUACAGAGGGAAGCAGAGAAGUCAAUCUCAACUCCUAGGCAAGGUGGAUAAACUCUUCUGGCCUUAAAGAAAUAUAUUGUGUAAUAAAUAUAUAUAUGUUAUAUAUAAUAAUUAUAUUGUAUAAUAAUAUAUUAAUCAAUGUAAUAUAAUUAAUAAUAUGUAAUAAUAUAUGUUAUAUUAAAUAAUAUUCACAUAUAAAAGCCAGGACGGUGCAUGGUAUAUCAUAGGCUAUAUAUAUAUAUAUAUAUAGAGCCUACUAUAUAUAUUUUCCCCCCUGCCCCUUAAUCACAAUAACAGUUGAAGCGUUACUUAAGCCUUCUAGUUAAACUUCUCUAAAGAUUAGUACCAAUUGAGUUGACAUUAAAAAGUUACUGACAAUGUCUUAGGGCAAUUUCUGUGAUAUAUGUACAAGAGAUAUGCCCACAGAAAAAUACAUUCCUGGAGCUUGUCCUAACACUAUCCCUUUUAUGUUUUUCAAUAUUUUGCAUGCUUAAUAUCAAAAAAGAGAUUGAUUCUCAGAGACAUUCUGCCUUACAGCACUCUUCCUGAAGUUUUAAGGAGAUCUGAACUUGACAGUUUAUAUUUCCUAGAGUCAAAAACAGAUAUGGGUAUUAGGUUGAGAAUAUAAGGUCAAAUUUCUACCCAGAGAGUUAUCUAACUUCAAUAAGAAGCGAGAUAGGCAAAUAGAAAAUUCUUGAGAACUUUUUAAGGUUAUUAAUAUUUUAAUUCCCGUAUUCUAGCAAAGAUUACCUUAAAAGAAUAGAGGCUCCCUCUUCUCCUCCAGUAAACUCAACUGUAGACGGUCUAAGAAACACAUAAAGCUUAUAAGAAAGUGUUGGUCCCAAUCUGAGUCAAACUAAAAUGUAGUGUUUUGAGCAGCUCACAGAGUGUAAGAAAACUAGACCCUUCACAUUCUCCUGAAAGCUGCAGAAGUGUACUGACAGAGGAAUUGUAUUUCCUUUUUCAAUGAAUCAAAUUGCAUUACUUGAUUCUUCAGUGACUAAUGUUCAUGUAUUUGUGUAUUGUGAAUGAUGUGUUCUGUUUUCAGUUUUCAGAAUCUACCGAUAGACAAAGUAUGUUUAAAUCUAAACCUUAAAAAAUUUAAAUUGGUGAUAUAGCUGAUAGAAAUUGAAAGUGGGAGCAGGAGGAAGAAGAAGUAAGAGGAAAUGUAGGGGUGCUAAUUUCUCCCUCUCCCAUGGAUGGGGGUAAGAAAUAGACUAUUGUAAAUGGGUCCGUAAGUAGAGGUUAAGGACUUCUAAUUUUAAGAUGGUGGGAUAUUUCUAUAUGUUUCUCUUCUAAAUAAUCACCCCAAAGCAACAGAAAGAAUAAGAAACACAGACUCCAACUUUGCUGUCACUUAAUAAGAGACAUCUGAAACAAUAAACCAUAGUAUAGAAAGAUGGAUAGCAGAAGGAGGAACGACCAGUGACAUAAGAGCACAUGCAGAGAGAGGCCCUGCUGGGAAGCAACUGAAAGAAGGAUUGUUUGAAAGUCUGUAAAAGAGACAGUCAUAUCCCACAUCUACACACUCAUUCCUCAAACCUUCAGUGAGAGAAAACUGAAGCAGGGGCUUUCUGGGCUCAAGAUCACCUGGUCAAGAAGAGGAAGGCAGCAAGUGGAAGGAAGACAGAAGUUUGUAAAAAUUUUGGCAUAUGUCCAGCAGUUUUCAAAAUUUCAAAACAUGAGGAUUACUAAAAGUUGGCAUAUUGAAGAUUAACAGCCUCAGCCUUCCUCCCUUUCCCACCUUCUCUACUCCCUGCUAUAAAACACUGGGAACAGAAAGGUUAGAGAUCUUUUCCUAGAAAAACAAACCAUUCCAGAAUAAAGACCUCCAGAUCCUGACAUUUGCAGCAACUGGUGGAAGAGCUGGCAUCUCCCUUCAGUCAAACCCACUGGUUGAUGAGCCGUGUCCGAGCAUAUAGUCAGCCAGGAAUCACCCAAAAGUCAAGGAAAUCCUCCAACAUGAAAGAAUAGGACAAAGAAAACCCCCAAAAUACCCUAAAAGAAAAAAGGAAGUCAGAAGAACUCAGAAAAAAAUUAGGGAAAUCACCAAGAAAGUAAAACAAAAAGGCAGAGAUGUACAAUAAGAAAGGAAAAAUACAGGAGGCUCAACAUCUAAAUAAUGGCAAUUCCGGAGAGAGAAUAGAGAACAGAAAAAGUAGUGGGCAGAAAUUUAUCAAAGUGACAAUCGAAGAAAAUUUCCCAAAAUAAAGGUUGGACUGAUUGCCCAGCUCAAUGAAUGGAAAACACGUCCCCUGUAAAGCCCCAUCACUGUGAAAUUUCAAAACCUGAGGGAUAAAGAGAAGAUCCCAAAAGCUUCCAGAUAGAGAAAGAGAAAACCAAUUUACGUACAAACAACCGGUUACAUGAAUGGCAGUGUUUGUAGCCUUAUAAAUCUUGCCACUCACAGAGAUCUUUUUCUUCCAUUUGAGCCAAUUGCGUAGUCAAACUCUUUCUCCUGAAGGCCUACCAUCUGAGAUUUACCUCUUAAUUCUUCCCUUAUCGCCCAUCUUGUUCCACUCAUUGAAAAUAUUCAAAAAAUUUCUACCAAAUACUCAGUCUCUUCCUCCCUUAACCCAGUGCCAGACCUGCCACUGUGACAGACUAAGCAUAUACUGGCCUGGAUCUGCCUCCUUUUGCUGGGAGAGCCAUCUCUUCAGUUGUCCUCUGUACUUGGCAGUGGUGAGUGUGGAUUUCCAGGCCAGCUGACCUCAGUUACCAGGGUGUCAGCAGAGACUGCCUCCAACCUGCUCUUGUCUCACCAAGAUGUUGACAGCCCCUCUCUUCCUCCUGCUUGGAGCCAAGUCAACCUACAAAUACUGUCACAUCACCAUGAGAAUUCUGUCUGCCGAUUCCCAAACCAGAGACCCAUCCACUCAGCAUUGUUACCAGCUAGAGAAGGGCAACCAUCACAGGCUACACACAGACAUCUGGCUUCCUUCUCUGGAAAUUUUCUCUCUACCCUCUCCAGGGACCGGCACAUUCUUUCAUCAGAACAGGUGCAUGUGCACCAUAGUGAUGAAGUCAACUGAGUAACCUCAACCUGUGAGACGGACAAACACCUGAGGAAGUUACUAUUUUCCUAAAUUGAUGUUUCUGAGCAUUACAUGAGUUUAUCCAUCAAGUAUCUAUUGAGUCCCUACUAAAGAGCAGCCAGUGCUCCUGGUGCUGAAUACACUGAACACAACAGAAAGUUCUGCUCUCAAGGAGAUUAUAAAGGGGAGAUGACAGUGAACACAUAAAUAUAAUACAUGUCAUAUGCAAUAAAGAUAAAAUAAUAUAAAAUAUAAAAGUGUGUGAAAAUAUAGUAAGUAAAUAUAUAUUAUUUACUACAUAUUAAAUAUAUAAAUAAUAUUAAAUAUUAUGUAAAAUAAUGGAAAUAUACAAUAAAUCAGGAAGUGCUAUGAAGAAGAUCAAGUAGGGUAGGGCACUGGUGUGGUUACUGCAUUUACAUUUCAAGCAGAUCAUUUCUUAAUAUCUUCCUCCUUUCUAUGGCAAAAUUAUUUACAUUUUAAUGUAAAUAAAGAAAUAAAAUAAAUUAUAAUAAAAUAAAAUAUUAUUAUGUGAAAGUUAUAUUCCAUAAUUGUGAAAUGAAGCACGUAGCAGACAGACUCUAAGGGAGCCCCCGUGACGCCCACCUUCUGCUUUCAUGCCUUGUGGACCCCCUUCCGCUUGAGUGUGGGCAGGGCCUGUGACUUGUUGUACCAACAGAAUAGGUCAAAUGUGUUGAGUUGGGACUAUGCCACAUAAGCUUGGAACCCAUCUUGCUUGGAGGCUCCCUCGCUUGCUAGCUUUGAGGAAGCAAGGGCCAUGUUGGAGAGGCCCACGUGGCAAGGAGUUGAGGGCAGCCUCUGACCAACAUCCAGCAGAAGACUAAGUCCUUCAGCCUGACAAUCCACGUUGACUGAAUCCUGUCGACAACCAGACUGCCCCUGAGCUAACAGCUGUGCCCAUCUUCCUCUACUUUAAUGUGGGAUGCCUGCCACAGCAUGGUGUGCCAAGUGGCGCGUAGGUCCGCACCAGGGAUCCGAACCAGUGAACCAGCCCGGCCGCAGAAGAGGAACGUGCAAACUCAACCACUGCACCACCCUGCUGGCGCCCAUGUGGUAACAUUGUUAUGCAGCAAUAGAUAACUAAUACAAAACACGUGUUACUAAUGGCCAGAAAAGAAAAGCAGACAGUGAAACUUGCUUUGUUUAGCUUCAUAUUUAUAAUUAUGCCAGUCAAAAAAAUUAAUACAAAAUAGAAUAAAGUAAAUAAAAAUAAGUAACUAAAAGAUAAAAAAGGAAGUGUGGGUUAAAUUUUUUAAAUAUAUUGUGUUCUUUUGAAAAAGAGAAAAUGUUCAUCUGUCACAGGAAUAAAUAAUAUUAUGGUUUCUGUUUUCAAGCCUUAACUUCUGCAAAUUUGUCAAUGGCUUCAUCAAAAAUGGAUCUUUUUCGCAUGUUCAUGCUCAAUACAAAGUCUAGCUAGAUUUGUCAAUUUGUCGUUGCACAUAGUGGAUCUUUACACAGGACUAUGUCACACCACCAGGUUGGGAUUUCCAGUUGUCCCCAAAGCAGGCUCAAAUGACUCUUUGACACACUUACCAACAAACGUGUAUAGCCCUGUGCAUACAAAACGUGUAUAGCCCAACAGGGGGCCGACCGUACAGCUCAAACUUCUCUGAAUUAACUUCCAGGUAGAAUUCCACAGAACACCAUGUUUGUUACAGGAUAAGUAAAAUUAAUGUGCUCAUUUAAAGUGCACGUAUGGAUUUUUUAAACUCUAAUAUCCGCAAUUGUUUGGAACUUCGACCGACAAAAGCUUUGUUUUUGGUUUUUCUCAGAAGAGUAUUCCAUCACCGAUGUUGUUUAGAAUUCCUGGUACAUGGAAUUAAAUAAAUUUUGAUAAAUAAAAAGCAGACUGAGUUGUAGUCAGUUUUAUUACUGUUGGCCUGUGCCUGGGGCACACUCCGCCUGCUGCUCUGCGCUCUGCGGUAAAAGAGAGGGAGUAAAGAAGACUGUGAUUGUAUUCGGGGCUUUUAGGGGAGGUCUCUCUGACGAGGUGAUAUUUGAGCAGAGACCUGAGUGCAGUGAGAGAAUGAGGCAUGCCACUAGCUGGGGAGGAGGAUUGCAGCAAACACAAAAGCUCUAAGCCAGAUUGCGGCUGGUGUGUCUGAGGAACAGCAAGAAACCAGGGGACCGAAGCAGAAGAAGCGAGGGGGCGUUGGAGCUGAUGAGGUCAGAGAAGCAGUGAGUCAGGGCUGGGGAAAGAACCCAGGACCGUCUGAGGCAUCUGGUACCUGUUUCCAUCACAGUCCUUCACACCUGGUGAUGUGAGCUCCGACCUGGUGAAAUUAGACUGGAUUUCCAAAAACCUCACUUGAAUCAAAUAUUUCGUACUUAAUGGAACUCAGUUUCCCAGCUUAGAAAAUGAGGAUAACAUAACCUAUCUUGCAGAGCUAUUGUGCUUAUUAAAUUAAAUAAGAUAAUACUUGUGAAAGUGCUUUGUAAUCUGUAAAGCACCGUGAAAAGGACCACUCUUGUUGUUGUUGCUAUUAAGAGAAGUUGGUUAAGUGCUCAAGAACCAGGGGAGCGGAGAUGUUCUCAGCUGAGCGCUCUGGAUCCUGCCGCCCUCUUCCCUAACUGCUCCAUCGCCUUGCUUUCCAAUGCCUUUCCCACACUCUUUCCUUCAGCAGGAGGCUUUGGUGAACGCAGUCAGCCAGGCAUGCUUCUCGUCAGCAUGACAGGAGGUGCAUAACCACCCACGGUGAUAGCGCCUAACCAAGCUAAACAGUAUAAGAUAACCUUCAUUUGCAAAUCUGAUGAGCGAAAUUACAGGGUUCAGCUCUAAUAGAGGGGGGAAAUGAAGCUCAAGAUCAUUAUUUCCACAUCUAAGAUUAGUAGCUGGAAAAUACAGUACCUCUGUAAAAUGACAGUGUCAAAGACACCCCAGUUUUGCACGACUCCAGCACCCACACAAAAGAAGAAUCACUUCAGAGAAUAGAAAUGGAGAUGCUGCUCUCCCAGAGGUCAUGCCAGAUGGACAUAUCUGAGUGUUCGCCACAUACCCCACCAGUCUACCAUGACAUCGUUUGUUGAAACUACUGAUAAAGGUCGUCGGAAAAUAUCUGCUAACCCAAAGGAAAAUAUGAGCUGUCUUUCCAUUCUUUUUCUCUUUCAUAGGUCAGAAGUAAGUGCUCUUUGCCUAGAGAAAUACUCCCUUAUAUAAAUCAAGUAGAGAAGAUGAGGACGGAAGGAGUAAAUGGGGGAGUAAGAAGUUGUCUCAGGAGAAAGUGAACACCUCCCUUACAUUUCCACAGGCUGUUCACCCCUUCAUCAUAGUCAGUCAUUUACCAGGGGUCUUGGCUUCUAAUAGACCUGGGUUUGACUUGGUGUGAGACCUGGGGCAAGCUGCUUAACAUUCCUAAGUCUCUGUUUCUCAUUCUGUUUUCUCAUUUCUACUGUUUUUCAGUAAGAGGUGAUAACAAGAGAGCCUAACUAGUAAGACUGGUGAAGAUUAAAUGAGAAAGUCUAUGUAAGCCCACCACAGUGCUGGGGAUAUGGUUGGUGUUCAGUAAGUGCUAGCUAUUUGUAUGAUUAUUGGGGAGAAAUUACUAAAAAAGUUUUAUCAGGGGGAAAAAACAUAAGAAUGAGGGAAAAUAGUCAACUUUAAGAAUUGUUCUUAGUUUCCUAGGAUUUAUCUAACAUGGGUGCUAUAAUGCUUAGUCUAUGUGAACUAUUUAAAAAAACAAAACAGGAGUUUAUUCAAUACAGAGCAUUUCAAAAUACGCUUGGUUUAAAAUUUCUUAAUAUAUUACGAUUCAGGAUAAUGUGAAUUACUAUUUAAGAAAAACAUGUAUGAUAAAAUUUAAAUGACAGCAUUAAUACUUUUAAAGCAAACACUUCCAUGUUACCCAUAGAAAUAAUUAUUCUUGGUACAGUAGAGCAUUAUCUGGAACGUGAGUAAAUGAAGAGUUCAUGCCACGUAAAUAAAAUUUCCAAAUUACUAAAACCAAACCCUUAAACAGCAAAACUUUAAAAAGAGAUUUUUAAAAUGUGUUUAUGUUAUUGUAUCUAUUAUUUAUUAUAAUGUGUACAUAUGCAUAUAUACAACAUUUUAGAUGGCCAUGUUGGACAGUUUUCCUUAUUCUUAGUGUUUUCUUAUUGCCUUUGCUUCACUGAUCUGAACACCAAUUACUGCGUAAUGCUGGAAUAGGAAUUCCCUCUGGAGCCUGUAAAGCUCACAGGAUGGAAACUCACCAGCCCAAAUGGCCUUGCACUGAACAAUUUUUCAAAAACACUUUAGGGGAGGAAAAACUUUCCCUCAACCCUCUUAGGGUCCUUGGCUGGGCCUGAAAAUUAAACUGACGCAUGACAGAGGAGCCUUCAUUCGGAAAUGAAGACCUAAAGAGAAGGUUAAACUUCAGCGUUUUUAUACUAGGUUUAAUCAAGAGUAGGAAGUCAUGCGGGGUUCAAGCGCUCUGCUUUGGUGGCCCAGGGUUACGUGGUUCAGACCCCGGCGCGGACAUGGCACCGCUCAUCAGGCCACGCUGAGGCAGCGUCCCACAUGCCACAACUAGAAGAACCCACAACUAGAAUAUACAACUAUGCACUGGGGGGCUUCAGGAAGGAGAAGGGGGGAAAAAAGGAAGAUUAGCAACAGAUGUUAGCUCAGGUGCCAAUCUUUAAAAAAAAAAAAAAAUGUUCUCUGACUAUGAUGGAAUAAAACUAGAAAUAAAUAACAGAAAGAUAACAGAAAAAUCUACGGAUGCUCGGAAAUUAAACAACACACUUCUAAUUAAACCAUAGAUGAAAGAGGCAGUCUUAAGGAGAAUUAGAAAAGAUUUGAAACUAAAAGGAAGAAGAUUUUAAAAGAAAGAUUUUAAAAUAAAAAUAUAACAUAUCAGAGCCAGCCCCGAUGGCCUAGUGGUUAAAGUUCGGUGUGUUCUGCUUUGGCGGCCUGGGUUCAGUUCCAGGCCACAGAGCCACACCACUCAUCUGUCAGUGGCCGUGCUGGGGCAGUGGCUCACAGAGAAGAACUAGAAGGACCUGCACCUAGAAUACACAACUGUGCACUGGGGCUUUAGGGAGGGAAAAAAAGAGAGGAAGAUUGGCAACAGAUGUUAGCUCAGGGCAAAUCUUUCCCAGCAAAAUAAAAUACAACAUAUCAAAAAUCAUGGAAUGCAGAUUAAACAGUACUUAGAGGGAAAUUACAGCAUGAAAUGCUUCUAUUUAAAAAAGAAGAAAGAUUUUGUAUCAAUAAUGUAAGCUUCCUCCUUAAGAAACUAAGAAAGAGCAAAAUAAACCCAAAGCAAAUGAAAGGAAGAAAAUAAUGAAGACGAGAGCAGAAAUCAAUAAAAUUGAAACCAGAAAAACAAUAGAGAAAAUCAAUGAAAUAAAAAGCUGACUCUGGAAAAAUUAAUAAAAUUAAUAAAUCCCUAUCAAUAUUAACCAAAAAAAAAAGAGAGAGAAGACACAAAUUACCAAUUACAGGAAUAGAAAGAAUAUCACUAUAGGCCCACAGACAAGAAAAUGUUAAUAAGGGAUACUGUGCACACUCUAUGUACAUAUAUUCAACAAUGUAAAUGAAAUGGACUGAUUCCUUGAAGACCAUAAACCACCAAAAUUCACUCAAGAUGAAACAUAUGUUAUCUCAUAACUGCUAACGAAAUUGAAUUCAUAGUUUAAAAACUUCUGGAAAAGAAGUCUCCAGGCCUGGAUGGUUUCACUGGAGAAUUUUACCCAACAUUUAAGGAAGAAGCAACAUCAUUCUACAUAAUCUCUUCUAGCAAGUAAAAAAGGAGGAAACAUUUCUUAACUCAUUUUAUGAGGCCAGCAUUCCACUGAUACCAAAAUCCACUGACAAUACAAUGAAAAAAAACUAAAGACCAGUAUCCCCUCCAAACAUAGAUGCAAAAAUUCUCAAAAAAAUUAGCAAAUUAAAUCCAGCAACAUAUAAAGAGAAUAAUACACCAUGAUCAAGUAGUCUUCAUCUCAGUAAUGCAAAGCUGGUUCAAUAUUCAAAAUCAAUCAAUGUAAUUCAC
ensembl:lncRNA